GAGGCCAAUAGCUCCUGGCCAGCUCCAGCUGUGUGAUAAGGUCAAGUGGAGAUGUGGGUUUGGACAAUAGGGUCAAUGACAGCAGUCUCCUCACUUUGGCAGAAGGCCCACUGUUCAAAGGAAUCUCCGUGGAUGCCUCUGUGGCCAGAGGGUAUGUGCGCACAUGGGGCCAGAACAGAGACCUGCGAAAGGGCUUCCUUCCCACUCACCUCCAGCUUAGGACUUUAUCCUGUGGAUUGCCUCUUGGAUUGGUACUCAGCACCUGACCCCUGGAUCCUGACCCUGGAUUGUGUUGUGGACUCUUCUUCUCGAUUUCCUUCUGGCUUUGGUAUAUGGUUCCUGCCCUUUGACCCAGUCCCAGACCCUCAGUGGCCUAAUCAUUAGACCAGACCGGCUACACCCCAGUCCCUUAUAGCUUGACUGACAUCCCUACAGACACAGCUAGGAGCACUCCUGCAGCAGGAUGCUACCUUGCAAGGCUGUUCUCUCCUGCCACAUCAUGAACCCAAGAUGCCUCUCCCUGGUAAGAGCAACAGACCACCAGGGAAGUUUCAGGGCUUCACUAAUCCAUACAGGCUCUUGUUUGUCACAGCCCCAAACGUAUCCCACUGAGUGGGCCCAAACUAGACUCUUAAUUAGCCUCCUAACCAGAAAGACCCUGCUGUAGGCAUCUCCCCUACUGGAGAUCUCUAGCCCUCUCCUUGAUAACCAUGAGGACUCUGUAAAGGCCAUGAAGAUCCCUUUUGGUAACCCUUACUUGAGGUGCUCAGUGAAAAUGGCUCUUCAGACCCUUACCCAGGGGCUGCAAUCGUUGUCCACCCAUACAUCUGAGUUCUGAUGUUUGGUGGCAAAGACCCAGUAGAAUGAAGCAGCACAGUGGUACCAGUUCUGUCAGGGGCUGAUUGAGGAGGUUAAAGGUGAGCUUGCAUGAAUCAAGUUGCCUCAGGAUCUAGGAACCCUUGUUGAUAUAUGCAUUGACAUUGACCUCCAGCUAAUUGAGUAGUGCCUGGAAAAGAGCCAUUCCUCUCAGAAAUGCCAGAUCUUCACCUCCCCUCAGUCAGCAGCUACAGGAUAUCACUGUCAAACCAAACCUGCACCAGUGGCAGAGGAGCAGCCAGAACCCAUGGAAGUGGACACAACAAGGACCCACGCGUCGUUGGGGGAAAAAGAGCAAUGGUGAACAAAGGGCCAAUGUUUAUACUGGGGGGAGGAGUCAGUCGCUGGGUAAAUCAGUGUUCAGAUCAGCACAGGGUACCUGCCUCAAUCUCAGCAUUCUCUUCUAUGCCCCCCUGGGAGGCUACAGCCCUCCCCACUCUAGUUUCCCCUCCAGCUUUCCCACCCAACUAUGAAAACCAAUGGUGGACCCAGGAGCCUCCAAUAAUUUUAUGGAUGCAGACUCCCAGUUCAGUGGUCCCAGUGCUGGGAUCCACCUGACCUGGUGGAAUCAAGUGAAGGGCCUCUUCUGUCACUGGGACCAGUCUCCCAUGAGGUUGCUCUGCUUAUUGCAACCAUAUAGAGACAUCAGGAGAAGUUCCAGUUUGGGCUUAUCAGAUCCUCUCAUUACCCAGUUAUCCUGGGCACCCCUUGGCUUGUGUUGCAUGACUGCAUGGUGCACUGGCAAGCCAGAGAAAUUUCCUUUAACUCUCUUUACUAUGGGAGAAUUGUUUGCCCUCAGGGGAGCUGCACUCUUUUCCUGACAAUCCUGAGCCUCAAGGGUUCCCUGAUUCUCCACCUGAAUGUGUCCAACCCUCUAAAGUGGGGGAAGCCAGUGCAGUGCCUGGCUACAGUGGUAAUUCCAGAAAAGUAUCAAGACCUGGCAGAUGUUUUUGAUGAAAAGAAGGCAGACAUCCUCCCGCCUCAUAGACCCUGCAGUUGCCCCACUGAUCCGAAACCAGGGGCUGAAGUUCCUUCGGGCUCCAUUUAUACUUUCUCAGAGCCACAGCUACACAUGUUCUGGGAGUACAUUCAGGAGAGCUUAAACAAAGGGCUUCUCUGCCCCUUAAAAUCCCCAGCAGGAGCCCCAAUCUUUUUUGUCCUUAAGAAGGAUGGGUCCCUCAGCCCCUGUGUUGAUUAUAGAGCUCUAAAUGGGAUAACUAUCUGCAGCUGCUAUCCACUGCCUGUGAUGAAUAAGCUUUUUGAGCAGCUCUGACAGGCCCAGCUUUUUUUCCAAAUUAGACUUCUGUGGGGCUUAUGAUCUUGUCUGUAUAUAGGAAGGGAAUGAAUGGAAAAGGGCUUUCCAGACUUGGAAUGGGCAUUUUGAAUAUCUGGUCAUGCCCUUUGGCUCUGUAAUGCCCGUGCUGCAUUUCAGCAUUUUGUCAAUGACAUUUUUAGGGACAUACUGGAAUAGUUUGUUAUAAUACACCUGGAUGGCAUUCUGA